rnacentral:misc_RNA from 1 species
GAUGAAGAACGCAGCGAAAUGCGAUAAGUAAUGUGAAUUGCAGAAUUCAGUGAAUCAUCGAAUCUUUGAACGCACAUUGCGCCCGCCAGUAUUCUGGCGGGCAUGCCUGUUCGAGCGUCAUUUCAACCCUCAGGCCCCGCCUGGCGUUGGGGAUCGGCGCGGCCCUCUCCGGGCUGCCGGCCCCGAAAACUAGUGGCGGUCUCGCUGUAGUCCUCCUCUGCGCAGUAGCAACGCUCGUACUGGAACUCGGCGCGGCCACGCCGUAAAACACCCCACUUCUGAAAGUUGACCUCGGAUCAGGUAGGAAUACCCGCUGAACUUAAGCAUAUCAAUAAGCGGAGGA